UACAGGGGGGGCAAGCGUUGUCCGGAAUCACUGGGCGUAAAGCGCGUGUAGGCGGCUCGCUAAGUCUGUGGUGAAAGCGCCUGGCUUAACCGGGCGAGGUCCAUGGAAACUAACGGUCUGGAGGCCGGUAGAGGGGGGUGGAAUUCCGGGUGUAGUGGUGAAAUGCGUAGAGAUCCGGAGGAACACCAGUGGCGAAGGCGGCCCCCUGGGCCGCGCCUGACGCUGAGACGCGAAAGCGCGGGGAGCGAACAGG
rnacentral:rRNA from 1 species